UACGAAGGGUGCAAACGUUGCUCGGAAUUAUUGGGCGUAAAGCGCACGUAGGCGGCGCAGUAAGUCCCAUGUGAAAGCCCACGGCUUAACCGUGGAAGUGCAUGGGAAACUACUGUGCUUGAGUACUUAAGAGGAUCGCGGAAUUACCGGUGUAGCGGUGAAAUGCGUAGAUAUCGGUAGGAACACCAGUGGCGAAGGCGGUCUCCUGGAGCAGACUUGACGCUGAGGCGCGAAAGCUGGGGGGAGCGAACGGG
rnacentral:rRNA from 1 species